ACCGAUAGCGAUUAGUCCGUGAGGGAAAGUUGAAAAGAACUUUGAAGAGAGAGUUCAAGAGUACGUGAAACCGUUCAGGGGUAAACCUGAGAAACCCAAAAGAUCGAAUGGGGAGAUUCAUCGACGACGAGGCUGGCUUCCGUUGGUGCGCAGAUAGCCCGCAAUGGUGCCUUCGUGGUGCCAGUGCGAGGGUACACCACCUUCGGCAAAUGUUCCGGCUACGUAGUCGUGCACUUCUCCCUUAGUAGAACGUCGCGACCCGUUGCGUGUCGGUCUACGGCCCGAGUUUGUUGCCUGUCGUGUCGCCAUCGCGCGCGCACACGGCAGACGCUCGGUCGCCUGGCCGGCUGCGUGACGGUACUCUGACGGUAUCGGGCCGCAACCAAUCCAUUCUCGAAUGUUUGUGCGUCAGGCCCGCCGCAAGCUCGGUUUUCUACCCGGAGGCACGGACCUGGUGCCGGCUCCGGGCCUAACCAGCUGUUAGCAGGCGGUGUCCUCGGACUGGCCAAGCUUUGAAUUACCGGUCAGCGACGCUACUGCUUUGGGUACUCUCAGGACCC
rnacentral:rRNA from 1 species